rnacentral:rRNA from 1 species
CAGCAAUUCGUUACAUUAUAUUCUCACUUGUAGGGUGCUGAUACGAGUUAUUUCAGCAACCUAAAACCUUAUUAGUGCACGCACACUUUCUGGUCGAAUCGAGCGGCCGAACGCUCGCCGCUCGAUCAACUCAGAUCAUGUGGCCCGCGACGUCAGGCGUUACUUGGUCGGGGAGGUGGUUGCGACCGCGUACGACAAACGACCCAUCCUCUCCUCCACCUCCUCUUCAGCCGCCCCAUCCUCUCCCAUCAUUCCCCUCCUCCACCCGCCUGCGCUGCGCACAGGCACCUGCGCUAUGUCGCCAUGGAUGGCUCGCCCCAAGCAGCAAGGAGCACCGACGCAUGUGCUGCGUCGCCAUGCCCGCCCGAGCAGCAGCUGAUGUGAGACCAGGAGGUUGUCUCCUCCCCAGAUCCUGGUGACGGUGAGAUCCAGCAGAUGCGGACCAGGUUGUCUUCGCCACGGCACGCCGCCCUCCUCUCCGGUGACAGAGCUGGUCCUUUCCAACGCGCAUCUGGAUGGGUUCAUCAUCGUCGCCCCGGCCUCUUCCUUCCCCUGCGUCUGACAAGAUGUUGAUUGAAGUAUUCUGUAGACGCGUACUACUUGAUUGAGGUAUCUGCAACAGUUCCGAGCAGUGAAGAAAAGAAGCAUAGUUCAAGCCGGUAGUAUAGCAUAAAGAACGUCAGAUUACUUUGACUUGCCUCGGUUGACCAAUCCAUGUGGACGGUGGAAUAAUGCAAAAGCAAAAGCUUAAACGGGAUGAUUUGACGCAUAUUUAAUCCCUUUCUUCGGCCGUGAAUUUCUGCAUGUCAGUCUAGAUCAUCUUGCUAUAUUCUUGUCUUUUUUCAUAUGCUCUUUCAGAAGUCACCCGAGAAUGUUUUUAGUGCACAACUAAGAAUUCAGUCUUGGUUGAAUACCACCAUCUUAUAUUUUGUGA